GUGCUCACUUUAACAGCACCUGUACUAAAAUUGGAGUGACACAGAGAAGAUUAGUGUGGUCCCUACACAAGGAUGGUAUGCAAAUGUGUGGAGUGUUCCAUAUUUUU
ensembl:snRNA U6 U6 spliceosomal RNA